UUUUAUUUGGAAAUAAGCUAUAUAUUUAAUGAGUACUUAUUAUUUAAUUUAACAUAAGGAAUUACUUUCUUGCUCCACUGAUGUCAAUUUGAAUGUUGGCAGUUUCCAAGGAGGAAGUUGAGGGUUUUGGUGAAGAUUGUCAUCCAUCUCCAACGCUAAGCCUAAAAUAACUAUUUAGGAGAGCAUCACAAAAGGAACGCAGGUUGGAGAGAUGUUCCAAAUGUUCUUGUAACUGAACUUUAGGAAAGUGCACUUCACGCAGAGGUGCAAGGAAACCAAACACAUAGGUAACCAAAGUAGAACGCGUAUCUCCAAGGAAAAGCUGAGAUGUUCACAAUCUAUCUGCCAGAAGAUUUAGGCACUUCUUAGCAUCUCUAUAUCCAUGAUUCCACUUCUCACAGGCGGUAAAGGAGAGGCUCUCCUCUGGUCAGGAUAAUCCGAUCAGUGCUGUUGCAGACAUUUUUCCAGGCAGGAUCAAACCCAAGGGAAAAGGAACCUGAAAACCAGAACCUGCAUAGCUGCCUCCAGCUGUGACUGUUCUCAGUUUCACCAGCCAAGGUCUCCAAUCUGAGUGGGCUCCUUCCUUUCGCAGGUGAAUACUUGCUGGUGUUUUCUAAAUUCAGCCUUCGGCUUCUCUGUGCCUCCUCCUUCACUGUUGAUGAUACUCCACAGGUCCUUCUGCAGCUUGGUUGCACCAGCUCAUAUUCUAAGGUUUGUGGGGGAUAUUUUGUCCCCUGGUUUAUUGAAACAAUCACUUGCAUCUUUUUUUUUCCUUUUCUUUCCUUGUUACUUUGCUUGGUGGGUUCUAUGCCACAUGGAUCUGUCUCCCCAGCAGCUGAAAGCUAAAAUUGUUUCACUGACUAGAGUUACCUUACUUAAGAAUAGCCUCCUUCUCAGGAUUGCUCACAUCUGAUGACUGGUUGACAUGGGAAGAUAAGGGCCUGGGCUCCUCAUCACAUCUGGGGACAAUUGUGAAGGGUCAGUCUACCCAUGGGAUCAAGUAAGGCCUUAUUGGGACUUCAGUCACUGUCACACUUCCCCCUUUGCCCAGUCAUGCUUUUCUCUUUCCCUCCACAGGUGUUGAUACUGAGAGUACGCCCUAAUAAACUUUCACCACGCUGAUCUGUUUCAGAGUCUGCUUCCAAGGAACUCAACUGGUGGCACUCUUCUUUUUUCCUUUUUUUAUUUAGAAUCUCAUCCCCACAACAAUUUUCUUUAAAGAUCUCAGUUGGCUUUAUUUGUCAUUCUAGAAUCAGGUAACACUUCAUUUUAUAAAAUAGAAAAAGUCUCUCCGGUACUCAGUUUCCAUGAGGGGACAUGGAGGGAUAUAAGCAACUCCCCUAUUCUCUCCAGCGUACUCUGGCCUUUCGCUCUAGAAUAAGGUGUGUGUGCUCUUGCCUAGAGACGGGAGGAAAACAUGUAACUUCAGGUCACCCCCUGCUAGAAAGACCCCCAGACAACUUUGUUUAGAACCCAUCUCAGUGCUUUUGUUUGUUUGUUUGUUUUUAAAGAAUAAGCUGGUCAGGUGCGGUGGCUCAUGCCUGUAAUCCCAGCACUUUGGGAGGCUGAGGUGGGAGGAUCACUUGAGACCAGGAGUUUGAGACCGGCCUGGGUAACAUAGUGAGACUC
rnacentral:lncRNA from 10 species